UACGUAGGGUGCAAGCGUUGUCCGGAAUUAUUGGGCGUAAAGAGCGUGUAGGCGGCCCGACAAGUCCGCUGUGAAAGUCCAGGGCUCAACCCUGGAACGCCGGUGGAUACUGUCGGGCUAGAGUCCGGAAGGGGCGAGUGGAAUUCCUGGUGUAGCGGUGAAAUGCGCAGAUAUCAGGAGGAACACCAAUGGCGAAGGCAGCUCGCUGGGACGUGACUGACGCUGAGACGCGAAAGCGUGGGGAGCAAACAGG
rnacentral:rRNA from 1 species